rnacentral:rRNA from 1 species
UACGUAGGGUGCGAGCGUUAAUCGGAAUUACUGGGCGUAAAGCGUGCGCAGGCGGUUUUGUAAGCCCGAUGUGAAAUCCCCGGGCUCAACCUGGGAAUGGCAUUUGGGACUGCAAGGCUGGAGUUUGGCAGAGGAGACUGGAAUUCCUGGUGUAGCAGUGAAAUGCGUAGAUAUCAGGAGGAACACCGAUGGCGAAGGCAGGUCUCUGGGCUGAAACUGACGCUCAAGCACGAAAGCGUGGGGAGCAAACAGG